AGAGAAGCAGCUAGGUGGUUCUGGACAUACUGGAUGUUAGAGCUGAAUGUGAGGGUCCUCUUAGCAAAAUCCAAACCCUUUAGCCGAGGAGGAAACUAAAACCCAAAGCAGUUAAAGCAGUGGUUCUCAACUGGGGUGACUGUCCAUCCCCACGGGACAUUAGGCAGUGUUUCUGGAGAGAUUUUUGGUUGUACAACUGAUGGAAAGCUUCUGGUGUCUAGUGGACAGAGACCUGGGAUGCUGCUAAAAAUCCUCUAGUGCACAGGACAGCCCACCACAACCAAGAAUUAUCUGUCCCAAAAUGUCAACAUUGCUGAGAUUAAGAAACCCUGACCUAGCCUGACUGAG